GAUGAACGCUGGCGGUAUGCUUAACACAUGCAAGUCGUACGAGAGUUUUUAACUCUAGUGGCGGACGGGUGAGUAACACGUGAGAAUUUACCGUUAGGAGGGGGAUAACAAUUGGAAACGAUUGCUAAUACCCCAUAUGCUUUCGAGUGAAAUGGAUUUUUCUGCCUAAAGAAAAGCUCGCGGCUGAUUAGCUUGUUGGUAAGGUAAUGGCUUACCAAGGCGACGAUCAGUAUCUGGUUUGAGAGGACGAUCAGACACACUGGAACUGAGACACGGUCCAGACUCCUACGGGAGGCAGCAGUGGGGAAUUUUCCGCAAUGGGCGAAAGCCUGACGGAGCAAUACCGCGUGAGGGAAGACGGCCUAUGGGUUGUAAACCUCUUUUUUCAGGGAGGAACAAAAUGACGUGUACCUGAAGAAUAAGCAUCGGCUAACUCCGUGCCAGCAGCCGCGGUAAGACGGAGGAUGCAAGUGUUAUCCGGAAUUACUGGGCGUAAAGCGUCUGUAGGUGGUUUGGUAAGUCAACUGUUAAAUCUUGAGGCUCAACUUCAAAACAGCAGUCGAAACUAUCAGAC
rnacentral:rRNA from 1 species